GGGUCAGGCAAUCGCUUGAAUACAUUAGCAUGGAAUAAUGAAAUAGGACGUUCGAUCCUAUUUUGUUGGUUUCUAGGGUUGACGUA
rnacentral:rRNA from 1 species